UCCGCCAGAGAACUACAAGUGAAAAACUUAAAACUCAAAGGACUUGACGGUGUCCCAUAUCGACCUAGAGGAGCCUGUCCUAUAAUCGAUACUCCCCGCUCCACCCAACCUCAACUAGCAAAUAUUCCAGCCUAUAUACCGCCGUCGACAGUUUACCCUAUGAAGGCCUAACAGUAGACACAAUAGCCUUAACGCUAAUACGUCAGGUCAAGGUGUAGCAGAUGUUGAGGAAGAGAUUGGCUACAUUUUUUAUAAUAAAAAACACGAAUUGCACUAUGAAAUACUGCAUGAAGGCGAAUUUAGUAGUAAAACAGAUAAGAGUGUCUGUUUUAACAACGCUCUGGGACGCGUACACACCGCCC
rnacentral:rRNA from 1 species